rnacentral:rRNA from 1 species
GUCUCCGGCCAUAUCAGCCUGAAGGCGCCCGAUCUCGUCUGAUCUCGGAAGCUAAGCAGGGUCGGGCCUGGUUAGUACUUGGAUGGGAGACCACCUGGGAAUACCGGGUGCUGUAGGCU